rnacentral:rRNA from 1 species
CCUACGGGUGGCAGCAGUGAGGAAUAUUGGUCAAUGGACGAGAGUCUGAACCAGCCAAGUAGCGUGAAGGAUGACUGCCCUAUGGGUUGUAAACUUCUUUUAUAUGGGAAUAAAAUGUUCCACGUGUGGGAUUUUGUAUGUACCAUAUGAAUGAGGAUCGGCUAACUCCGUGCCAGCAGCCGCGGUAAUACGGAGGAUCCGAGCGUUAUCCGGAUUUAUUGGGUUUAAAGGGAGCGUAGGUGGAUUGUUAAGUCAGUUGUGAAAGUUUGCGGCUCAACCGUAAAAUUGCAGUUGAAACUGGCAGUCUUGAGUACAGUAGAGGUGGGCGGAAUUCGUGGUGUAGCGGUGAAAUGCUUAGAUAUCACGAAGAACUCCGAUUGCGAAGGCAGUUCACUGGACUGCAACUGACACUGAGGCUCGAAAGUGUGGGUAUCAAACAGGAUUAGAUACCCGUGUAGUC